rnacentral:rRNA from 1 species
UACGGGGGGGGUAAGCGUUGUUCGGAAUUACUGGGCGUAAAGAGCUCGUAGGCGGAUUUGCCAGUCAGGGGUGAAAUCCCGGGGCUCAACCUCGGAACUGCCUUUGAUACAGCAAGUCUUGAGUUCGAGAGAGGUGGGUGGAAUUCCUAGUGUAGAGGUGAAAUUCGUAGAUAUUAGGAAGAACACCGGUGGCGAAGGCGGCCCACUGGCUCGACACUGACGCUGAGGUGCGAAAGCGUGGGGAGCAAACAGG